UACGAAGGGGACUAGCGUUGUUCGGAUUUACUGGGCGUAAAGGGUGCGUAGGCGGGUCUUUAAGUCAGGGGUGAAAUCCUGGAGCUCAACUCCAGAACUGCCUUUGAUACUGAAGAUCUUGAGUUCGGGAGAGGUGAGUGGAACUGCGAGUGUAGAGGUGAAAUUCGUAGAUAUUCGCAAGAACACCAGUGGCGAAGGCGGCUCACUGGCCCGAUACUGACGCUGAGGCACGAAAGCGUGGGGAGCAAACAGG
rnacentral:rRNA from 1 species